rnacentral:tRNA from 1 species
CCGCCGCGGGGUCCCGGCGCGGGUCGUCGGUGUAGACGACGAAGUCGGCGGGAGUUCCCGGUUCGAGACUGGGGUGACCGA